CGAGAAGGUUCUUAGAUCUCCUAGGAAGGCCAGGCCUCUUUGGGGGUAUUCAGGUCUGAUUUCUCAAGAGCCGCAGAACCGCAGAUGGCAGGGCUGGAAGAGAGCCCGCGGAUGAUUUAAUCCACUCUUUGGAUUUUGCAAUUCUCAGCCACGGGAGGUUAAAGGAGGAGCCGUAUGCUUUUCAGGAAGCCUUGAACAGUGCCGGGGAUAAACUUGUAGUAGUUGACUUCGCAGUCACGUGGUGUGGACCUUGCAAAAUGAUCAAGCCUUUCUUUCAUGUGAGUAUGAAACCGGUUCUGCUUUAGAAGAGAUUCUGUGUUU
rnacentral:lncRNA from 1 species